AUGACAUCUCCAAAGUUUGUCUUCUAUCUGACAUGUUUGUUCUUGGAGAAAAUGGUUCAGACGACCGAUCUGAAUUUCUCCUCAUCUGUUCAUCAAGAGAAUAGUUUUCUAUCGGUUCAAACUGGGGAAAACUUGACAUUGCAAUGUUCCUAUGAAGACGUUUUUGCAGUAAAGCUUUACUGGUUUAAACAGAUUAUUGGACAGAAACCACGGUAUAUCUCUACCUUCUACAAGUACGACACAAAGGCAACUUUUCAUGCUGAAUUCAAGAAUCCACGCUUCACAUUGGACGCUGCAUUCGGUAAAUAUCACUUGAGGAUAACAGAUCUGCAAAUUUCGGACACAGCUACUUACUACUGCGCAAGUAGCUAUACAGUCGACUUGGAUUUCAAGGGGGGGACUUUUGUCAGUGUAAAGGGUUCUGGUUUGAACGUCCCAACUUUGGUCCAUCAGUCAGCAUCUGAGACCAUCCAGCCAGGAGGCUCUGUGACUCUGAACUGUACAGUUC